rnacentral:ncRNA from 2 species
GGUUCCAGAAGAGGUGCGAUAGCCAGGUAGUUAGUUUUAGGAACCACUAUUCCAAUGAUAGCUAAUGAGGGGGACUAUCGCCGAGGACUUAUUUUUGUGUGGAAAAAUAAUGUUCGGUUACUAAGGUUGAAUCCUUAGGGCUGUCACCUCUGUUGUAAAACAGAUGGGGUGGAGGGCUUCUGGCUGA